rnacentral:rRNA from 1 species
GCUUGAUGCCUGCAGUAGUCACUAUGGCUUGUCUCAGAUUACGAGCCAUUUGCAUGUGUAGUAUGAACUAAUUUCAGAGUGAAACUGCGGAAUGGCUCAUUUUAAUCGUUAUUGUUUGUUUGUGGUAUCUGCUACUCGGAUAAACGUAGUAUUCUAGAGCUCAUACACGAUGCACAAACCCCCGGACUUCUUGGAAGGGAUGCAUUUAUUAGAUAACCAAGUCGACGCAGGGCUCUGCCCGGUUUGCUCUGAUGAUUCAUGUAACUCGAGGUCGCACGGCCCAUCGUGCUGGCGAGCGCAUCAUUCAAAAUUUCUUGCCCUAUCACACUUUCGAUGUAGGAUAGAGGCUACCAUGGUGUGACGUGGUUGACGGAGAAUUUAGGGUUCCGAUUCCGGGAGAGGGAGCUGGAGAACCCGGUACCCAUCCAAGGAACGCAGCAGGCGCGGCAAAUUACCCAAUUUCUGACACGGGGAGGUAGUGACAUAAAUAACCAAACGGGCUCUUCGAGCCUUCUGGUAAUUGGAAUGAGUACAAUCUAAAUCCUUAACGAGGAUCAUUGGAGCGGCAAGUCUGGUGCCAGCUAAGCGCGGUAUAUUUCCAGCUCUAAUAGCGUAUACUUAAGUACUGUUGGCAGUUACAAAAAGCUCGUAGUUGGACCUUGGGUGAUCGACCGCGUCCGCUCGCCGGACUGUGCACCUGUCGGCCGUCCCUCUGCGGCGAUGCGCUCCUGGCCUUAAACUGGCGCGGUACGUGCGUCGGCGCUGUUACUUUUGAAGAAAUUAGAGUGUCAAGCAAAGGCCUACGCUCUGGGAGUACAUAGCAUGGGACUCAUAUAGCGAUUUCGGUCCUAUUGUUGUUGGCCUUCUGGAUUCGGCGUAAUUGUUAACAGGGACAGUCUGGAGGGAUUCGAAUUUCAUAGUCAGAAGGUGAAUUCUUGGAUUUAUGGGAAAGACGAACAACUGCGAAAGCAUUUGCCAGCGAUGUUUUCAUUAAUCAAGAACGAAAAGUGGCUGGGCUCGAAGCAACGCAUCAGGAUUACGUUCCUAGUCUCAACACUAAACGAUUGCCGACCAGGAAUCGCGCGCGAUGUUUGCUUAUUAGGACUCCGCCCGGCCACCUUAUGAGAAAUCAAGUCUCUUGGGUUCCGGGGGGAGUAUGGUCGCAAGGCUGAAACUUAAAGGAAUUGACGGCAAGGGUCACCACAGGAGUCGGAGCCUCGGCUCUUUAAAUUUGACUCAACACGGGGAAACUUACCAGGUCCAGACAUGUAAGAAUUGACAGCCUGAGGAGCUCUUUCUUGAAUUCUAUGGGUGUGGUGUGCCAUGGCCGUUCUUAGUUUUGGUGGAGCGAUAUUAUGUCUCGGUAUAUCUCCGUUUAACGAACGAGACCUUCCAGCCUGCUAACUAGCUAUGCGGCAGGUGACCCCUCCGCGGCCGCUUCUUUAGAGGACUUAUGGGGCCUUUUAGGCCAAGGAACAGUUUGAACGGCCCAAUUAAAGAGUCUGUGAUUGCCCUUAGAUGUUCGUGGCCCGCCCUCGCAGAACGCGCCACCGCAGCGCUCACUGAUCUGAUCACGAGUCUACUAGCCCUGGCCGCACAGGCCCCGGGUAUCUUAUUGAAAUUCAUCGGUGAUGGGUAGAUCCAUCUGCAAUUGUUUGCGUCUUCCAACGAGGACAUUCCUUAGUAGGCGCGGAGUCAUUCAGCUCGCGCUUUGACUACGUCUCCCUGCCCUUUGUACACACCGCACCGUCGCUCCCUACCGAUUUGAAUUGGUCGGUGUAUGUUCGGAUACGCAUGGCGACGUCGCGGCGGUUCGCGCGGCCGCGCGACGUCGCGAGAAGUCCACUUGAACCUUGAUCAUUUAGAGAAGGAGAAGUUCGUAAACAAGGAUUUCGUAAUGGUGAACCUGCGGAAG